rnacentral:misc_RNA from 1 species
AACUUCAUGAUCUGUUGUUCCCUGGAACAAAUUAAAGCAGAGAUCCAAUGAAGAACGGAUGAAUGAAUAAAGAUACGAAAUUGUAAAUCAUACAAAUCACAGAUCAUCAACAGUUCAGAAUAAAUCAGGAAUGAAUCGAAGCUUGCCCAUGCAUGAUGCUAGAGCAAUCAAAGAUAUAAGCACAAUUUGUAACGGUCUAGUUUUUCAAGGACAACAUACUUUACCAUGCAACUCAACUUAAUUCAACUCAACUCAGACUUUAUCCAAAAAAUUUGGGG